GACGAACGCCGGCGGCGUGCUUAACACAUGCAAGUCGAACGGAAAGGCCCUGCUUUUGUGGGGUGCUCGAGUGGCGAACGGGUGAGUAACACGUGAGUAACCUGCCCUUGACUUUGGGAUAACUUCAGGAAACUGGGGCUAAUACCGGAUAGGAGCUCCUGCUGCAUGGUGGGGGUUGGAAAGUUUCGGCGGUUGGGGAUGGACUCGCGGCUUAUCAGCUUGUUGGUGGGGUAGUGGCUUACCAAGGCUUUGACGGGUAGCCGGCCUGAGAGGGUGACCGGCCACAUUGGGACUGCGAUACGGCCCAGACUCCUACGGGAGGCAGCAGUGGGGAAUAUUGCACAAUGGGCGGAAGCCUGAUGCAGCAACGCCGCGUGCGGGAUGACGGCCUUCGGGUUGUAAACCGCUUUCGCCUGUGACGAAGCGUGAGUGACGGUAAUGGGUAAAGAAGCACCGGCUAACUACGUG
rnacentral:rRNA from 1 species